rnacentral:rRNA from 1 species
AACGAACGCUGGCGGCAGGCUUAACACAUGCAAGUCGAACGCAUCGCAAGAUGAGUGGCAGACGGGUGAGUAACGCGUGGGAACAUACCCUUUUCUACGGAAUAGCUCUGGGAAACUGGAAUUAAUACCGUAUACGCCCUACGGGGGAAAGAUUUAUCGGGGAAGGAUUGGCCCGCGUUGGAUUAGCUAGUUGGUGGGGUAAAGGCCUACCAAGGCGACGAUCCAUAGCUGGUCUGAGAGGAUGAUCAUCCACAUUGGGACUGAGACACGGCCCAAACUCCAGCGGGAGGCAGCAGUGGGGAAUAUUGGACAAUGGGCGCAAGCCUGCUCCAGCCAUGCCGCGUGAGUGAUGAAGGCCUUAGGGUUGUAAAGCUCUUUCACCGAUGAAGAUAAUGACGGUAGUCGGAGAAGAAGCCCCGGCUAACUUCGUGCCAGCCGCCGCCGUAACAC